AUGGAUCAGGAAAGCACUUUCGCCCGGGUGGAGAGGACUCUGUGGACGGUCUGGUGUUAUUUCACCGAAGCUGUGAACAGAUUCAUCAGAACGCAGGAAGCUGGUCCCAGCAGCAGUGACCCGGCUGACGGUGAGCCUCCAGACUCCGAACACACACAGGACAACACAGAAGAUUCCCAUGGAGGAGGAAUCAGUGAGGUGCAACUUCUUCCCUCCAUCUCUCUGCUCAGCUCAUCUGCAUCAGUUGUUGCCUGGACAGUUGGCACAAGCGACUCUAAGUCUGAGGAAGGAGACACACAGAAAAGAAGAGGCCAUGAGAGCAAAGGCUCUGAUGGCGGUAAAGCCACCAGACAGGAACACGUCGACCAAACAGGAAAUGACCGAGCACAGCUGCUGGCUAUUGAAAAGGAAACAACAAAUCAACUCAAACGAGAAGAAACUGAGAAUGAAGAAUCCUACACUAGUGAACGAGUCAAAGUGACCAGUGAAGAUAACCAGGUUACAGGAGAUAAUGGAGAUGUUCUGGAUGAAGAGAAAAGUGAAGGAGUUUGCACCAGAACAGCAGAGGAGGUCCGCGUGAUCACAGGGGAGGAAGGAGAAGAGGAGAAUAGUGCAGAAGAGUUGAACACUUGCAUGUUUCAGGUGAGCUCUGAAGCUGGAUUUCAGCCUUCAAUCUGUGAUGGUGAUGAUGUCAUUGUUAUUAGACAAGAGGUUGGGGGUGAAGAUGAUCAGACAGAGGAUGAGACAGCUCAGAUGGAGGAAGAAGACAUCAAUGAGGUUGCAAACAAUCAGGCGAAAGGAGAAGAGGAAAAACAGGAAAACAGCAGCAGAAUGACCACAGAUGGCUAUGACGAGGCAACUCUAUCAACUCACUGCAGCGAGGACGCCGUGCAGACAACACAAGAAAACGCAGAGAAGUUCGUAGAUAAAGGAGAGAAAGUGGUGGUCACUGUUACACGCAGCACCUCUCUCUCAGAUGUGAGUGCAGCAGGAACGAAUCUAGAUCAAAUCAUUGUUGAUGAAGGUGAGAUGGACGUGGAGAGGCUCUCCGGGAAAGUCCACAACAAAGAGAGCCGCUGGGAAAAUGACUGUGCCACCUCCUUGGUUACAGUAAAACCCGAAGGACUGAAGACUGAACAGGAAGCAAGCAGAGAGUCCAAAAAUAUUCCCCAGGUUGCAAUCGAAGGCCAGGAUCCUGCGCUGAACGAAACGAUUCCCAAAGCAUGCGAGGAAACACAAGAGGGGGUUCCUGAGCACAACAAUGAGCUCGGGUCAGAUGAAAACAAAACACAAAGCUUCUUGGAGAGAGGAAAUUAUGGGGAAAUCCGCAACAGUCAAUUACCAGAAGAGGUGGAGAAGGAGGAACAGGCGAGCCUUAAAAACAGUGGCAUGGGAGCAGACUAUUUACUGGAGGAGGAACAAGAUUUAGCUGUGGAGGAGCUCACUGGAAAUCUGCACUUUGCACAAGAAACAGAGGAACCCCCCGUCGGAGUGGGAAACCUGGAGUGCAAGGAGGAAGAGGUUGAGUGUCUGGACACCUCAAUGAAGACGGAGAUCAAACCUUCAGACAAGGACGAGACCUGCAGCAACUCAGUAGAUGAGACAAACAAAGAUCUGCAAGAAGCUGCAGAACUUGGAAAUAACCAAGAUGAAACAUCAAAUUCCCUCGAGGUGAAUGUAGAAAUGACAGAGACACACUUCUGUCAAGAAUCCAUGAAAUCCAUCGAACCCAGCGGUGAUGAGAGCUUUAGUUUAGCAAAGGAAAUCCCUGAUUCUGGGGUUUUGCAACUAAUUGAAUCUAAGUUAUCUGAUGACAGCGCUGUAGAAACUCAAUCCGUUGGGGCUGACACUGAGGAAAGAGAUUACACUGAUGAAGCGGAGGAAGAAAUCUGUGUUACAGGAGAGGAGCUUAUAAUCAGUCAGGAAGACAAAGAAACACCCCUGACUGAACAGUCGGAGUCAUCUCCAAAUCCUGAGGCACAGGCGACAAUAACUCAACCUUCUGUCGAAACAGACCAGGAAGAUAAGAUCGAGACAAUAACGGACACUGAUGCUGUUGAGUCAGGGGCAACAGAAUCCAAAGAUCUUCCUGCAAUGCCAGUGGAGGACACAGAACAUCCAUCCCAACCAGAGGAGCAGCACGACCAAGACACGAGCAGCUCAAUCAGAGGACAAGAAGAUGUCAUCGAUGAGGAAAUCCUAGACUUGUGGAUAGAGGCGGCAAUGUCCAACGAUUCCAGCCAAGAGGAAGAGCCUCAAACUGACACAAUGAAAGACCAGAUGGAGGAAGAGUUGUGUGAAAUGUUACCAGAGGAGUCCGAGCAGAUGCCUUCAUCAGUCAGUUCCACAGAAACGUCUUUGUCAAAUUUAGACUUUGGAUUUUUGGACCAGUCUUCUGUUGAUGUUCAGACCCCGAAACCUGAAGAUACUGGAUCACUUGAAGAUGUGCGUGACACCCUGGCUACUGUGUCAGAAUCAGCCAGUUCCUCUGAACUUUCAGAAGAUAAUUCUGAAUCUCGAGCUGUCAUGAAAGAGGAAACAGGGGAAUCUGUAGAGUCUUUUCUGAGAGGGAAGGAGUCAGCCAGAGGGACCGAACAAAUGGAUUCACAGGAGGAAAAUCAGCUCACUGAGAAACCUGAGACAGCAGGAGAGGAAAACUCAUCUGGGACGGAGGCUGAGACGAAGGCAGGGGGGAGGGACACUGAAGAAGGAGAUGAAAUGUCACUGGUUGAAGGCAUUGAUCAAAAUGAAGAAAAGAUGUUUGGAAUAUCAGUCGAACUCCGAGUUACUGAACCCAGGCUGACUUUGUUAGAGGAGACAGCAUUUUGGACAGAGCUUUGUUCUGGAUCUGAGGACAAGCAGCGUUCAGAGGAUGCACCAGACCACAGAUGGUCCUUACCCGCACUGAGCAGAGGUCAUGUGGCAGCAAGGCAGACAGCAUCAGAGGAUCAGAGUCAGCUAGACGCGCCGGUGCUGGACAUCACAGUGCAGAAGUCACGCAUUGCUGUCAAAAACCCCAAAGCGAGGCCCCCUAAAAACCCCCGCUCCCUGAUACACAAGCCUUCAGCUGAGCCAGCUCCCUCCACUCAUGUGCUGGUCAAAGAUCCUCCCGCUGUGCCUUUAGGUGGAUUGGGGAUUGGGAUCAAACUACCUGGGUUUGGAGCAGGUCUUCCUGUUUUAAAGAAGACUCAAACAUCUGUGGAAGUUGAGAAUAGCCAGGAUACUCAGAUACAGGAACCUGAAACGCAAACAGAAGAGAAAAGUGAGGGUGUGAAACCAAAGUGGAAGCCACCAGGACAUCCAGGAUUUGGAAUUCCACUUAUGUCUGAACUUAAGACCAAACUAAAGAAAACGCCCAAAGAGUGAAAAAUAUUGUUUUGUUUUUUAAACAAAUCCUGUAAAUAUUUUGAUAUGUUAAAAAUUAUUAUCUUCACUUUUAUUCAGCAGAGAACAAUAAUAAGAUCUCUAUCUUUUUUAAUGCUUACCUUUUAUAAUAAAACAUUAUCUUAAAAAUAAAGUGAAUGGUUUUAUUUUAUAAGGUAAAUGAGUUCUCUGUUUCAAAAGGGAGACUAAAGGACAAGAUCCAUGAAUGCUCUCUCUCUCUCUCUCUCUCUCUCUCUCUCUCUCUCUCUCUCUCUCUCUCUCUCUAAAGAAGACAUGUCAAUCAUGAGUUAAUGAGUCACCUGAAAAUAAUUGCUAUUUCAAAAUAUAUUAAAUUAAUUUUGGAUUUUGUGUGGUUUGUAUUGUCAUUUCAAUCAUACUGUUCAACUUAAAUGUGUUUUUGAGUAGGUUAACAGGAAGAACUCAAAUCCCUUUGAAACCACAUCAAACCACUCUGUACUUUUAACCUUAUAAAUGAAAAUAAACGUUUGGGGCUGCAUAAAUAAGAGGUGACUCCAGGACGGAGGGUUUCUCCAAAAAGAAACGUCGUACGCAGCACGGUGGGCAGUGUUGAAGAGUAAUUUGUCAUAAAUCUUUGUCUAAUUUCUAAUAAAUUGAGUUUUUACUUAAAACAACAGAUGGCGCUGUUGCUAAAACACAACAAGAUCCACGAAGAAGAAACCUCCUGCUGUGAUUGGUUAAAACCAUCAUAUAAGAAUAAACUGACGUUUUCAAACUUGAGCGGCGCUUCCAGAGGUCUCCAAGUGAAACCAACAUAGUUGUUAUAUUUUAGUUUUAUUUAACAUUUAUAGCUUUAAGUUUAGUUGGACCGUUUGAAAUAUUUCAAAUAAAACGUGUCUGUUUCAAG
rnacentral:lncRNA from 1 species